rnacentral:lncRNA from 9 species
UUUUUUUUUUUUUUUUUUUUUUUUUUUUGUCAAUGGUUUCCUUUGCUGUGCAAAAGUUUUUAAGUUUAACUAGAUCCCAUUUGUUUAUUUUUGCUUCUGUUCCCUUUGCUUUAGGAUACAGUUCCCCAAAGUAUCACUACAAUUUAUGUCAAACAGAAUUAAUUACAUCUAUGUUUUCUUCUAGGAGCUUUAUGAUUUCUGGUCUUACAUUUAGGCCUUUAAUCCAUUUUGAGUUUAUUUUUUGUGUAUGGUGUUAGAAAAUGUCCUAAUUUCAUUCUUUUGCAUGUUGCUGUCCAGUUUUCCCAGCACCAUUUACUGAAGAGACUGUCUUUUCUCUGUUGUGCAUCUUUCCUUCUUUUUUUUUUUUGGUAAAUUAAUUGACCAUAAGUGCAUGGGUCUAUUUCUGGGCUAUCACUUUUUUUCCAUUGAUCUAUGUGCCUGUUUUUGUGUGAGUACCAUACUGUUUUGAUGGCUGUAGCUUUGUAGUAUAGUCUGAAGCCAGAGUGUGAUACCUCUGGCUCUGUUCUUUCUCAAGAUAGUUUUGGCUAUGUUGGGUCUUUUGUCUUUCCAUACAAAUGUUGAAGUUAUUUUUUCUAGUUCUAUGAAAACUGCCAUUGAUAUUUUGAUAGGAAUUGCAUCAAAUCUGUAGAUUGCACAACCUCCCUGCCUACAAAUAGAUCUGACUUCCUUAUAUGAAAAUACUUUCUAGAAAGUUACUCCUUUUUAGUUUACCACCCUAUAUCCAUAAACUUAGUAAAUAAUUAACUAUGUUCCAAUUAUGUGCUAGACUCUAAUCAUAUAAAGAUUAUAAAGACAAAAGUUUUUUCAGAAGAAAUUCAUUCUAGUGGAGAAGACAGCCAGUAAAUAGAAAUAUGAAAGCUACUACCUGCUCAGACAUCCCAGUUAUUUUCUCUCUUCCCUGGCUGCCCUUAUACAUCCCCUUAGAGAAGCUACAUGGGCCAAAGACUGGUAGGUGGCAUUUUUCUUAAAUUCACAUUCUCUACCUCUGCUGCAAUUUAUUGGGUCAUGGGUAAACACAAAUAAGAUUGUAUUUUCCUUAUUUAUACACUUGUAUUUGGGAUUCAGGGAUUAUGGGAUGUAAAUUGGGGUAAUAUAUAAGGUAGAUGGUAAGAAGCCAAUCUAGAAAAAAAGAAGGAGGUAGAUGGAUGGGAAUAAAUACAUAACAUGGUACCAUGUUAUGAAACAGAGAGAGAAAGAGGUAAGUGGUUGAAGAUGUCUUCAUUCUUUUGAAGUUAUACUUUGUAUAAUGUAAUCAUAUACAUUUGUAUGUACCUAUGUGUAGAUACCUGUGUACACACACCAACAUACGUGUGUAUAAAAUCACAUAUAGUGGUUGGAGUGUCCAUUUCUUGUGAUUGACAUAUUGGUUCUCUGGCAAAUGACUUGUUGGUCAAACAGACAGAAGAGGAGAGUAGUAGAUACUCCUUAUUUCCUGUGGCAGGAACAGUACAUACUUAGACAUGAUGGAAUUUAGGAAUGAAUGAUUUUUGGGAAUAGAGGUUCCUAAAUAUAAGAGGUCAGGGUAUUUCUGGAGCAGUGGACACAAGUGAUGCUGAAAAAUAAGGCAGAAGUCAGAUCAUAAAUGACCAUAUUAGCCCCAUGGAGAAGUUUUAAUUAUAUUCUACAGGUAAUCGGGAGUCACUAAAGGAUUUUAACAAGGGGCAUGACAUAAUCAGAUUUUUAUUUUAGAGUAUGGAUCUUUCAGAUUUUCUUGGGUGAAUUGUAGAUGGGUCAUGUGUGAUAUGUCAUACACCACAUUCAAACUAAAAUGCUCUUGAAGUUUUCCUUCUGUCAUCCUACACACAAAAGUGAUGAAAAUAAACCAUGGCAAUGAAGCCUAAAAAUAGUUGUCAGCCUACUCAAGAAUUAGCUGAAAAACUGAUGAGCUGGAAUGAUAAACAUAAUCCUUGCCUGUUCAUGCUUGGAUGGUAAUCAAAAGAUAUGCAACAGAAGAUUUCUAUUUAUCUAUCUUCCAGUUUGGGUUGCAGGGGAUAUUUAAAUUAGAAAACUGCACUCACUCCAUGACUGAAUAGGACCCUUAGGUGUGACAGUAGCUGGCUAAUACACCACCUCUCACAUGUAUUAUAUAUUGUGAGUGUUUUUUUUUUCUUUUCUGAUAGAGUAUUUUAAUCAAAACAGUUUGGAGACCAUGACUUUUAUUCUGCACUUAUUCCCAUUUCAGAGUCUUAGAAUUGGACCAACAUCAGUAGUUCAUUACAAUCUCUCUACAGUUUAUAAUCCUAAUCUAGUUCUUGGAAAUAAAACUGAAGGUAGUAGAACAAUUCACUUCUGGUUUAGAUUUGAGAGACAAAUCUUCCCAUCUAUUACCUAAAUGGAUUUAGAGUUAGAAAUGAAGUUAGCAGUGGACUUCCCUCGUGGCUCAGUGGGUUAAGGAUCCAGUGUUGUCACUGCUGUGGCUUAAGGUUGUGGCUGUGGUGUAGGUUCAAUCCCAGGCCUGACACAAUGGUUUAAAGGAUCUGGUGUUUCUGCAGCUGCAAUGUAGGUGGCAGCUGUGGCUUGGAUUCAGUCCCUGGCCUGGGAACUUCCAUAUGAUAGGUGUGGCCAUAAAAAUAAAAGAAACAACAACUAAACAAAAACAAACAAAAAAAAACCAAACUGAGAAUGAAUGAAAGAUGACAAUAACUAAUGAAGUAAAAAUAAAGAAAGUCUCAAGUCUGAAAAAUGAUUAUUUUCUAGGCAAAACUGAAGAGACCCUUCCCUAGAGAAAUAUUAGUGGCAUCUUCAGCCUCAAGAAAAAGAAAAAAAAAAAAUCCUACUGUCUUUCAAGCAGAACACAACAAUAACAAAACCUGGUGACUUAAAAACAAUCUCACAGUAACAAUUCUCUACAACAUGAAAUUCUGGAAGACAGUGAAACAAUAACCAACCAUAAAAUUUUGAGAGAAAGCAAUUCUGAAACAAAAUGUCAACAUCCAAGUUAGUUGAUAUAUACAUAUAAAUGCAGCAAAGAUUUUCUCAGAAACAUGAUGGCUUUGGGGUGCUGAGGGGAGAAGUGGACUGAAUGUCUUAAAGACUUACUCCCACUGAACAGCUGACCUUGAGGUAAGUACAAAUGAAGAAGUUACAAAUGCGUAGUUCAUAAUAUUUAAAUAGUACUCAGGAUCACUGAAAUAUUAACAUGAAAUGACAAAUCUAAAUCAGUUCCCAUUGGGAUGGAUAAAUAAGAGGAAUACUUAUGGUUUCUCAGAAAUAAAGAUAAUUGGGGUUCAUAUUUCAAGAUUGAAUUGACAAGAAAAUAGAAAUGGGUAUGAGGCAGAAUAAUCAAAGAUAUUGAUUUUCCUCCAGCAUUAGAGAGAUUAACAUUUUUGUGUAUUUGUUUAAUUUUCCUAUUAGGAGAAGUAGACUCACGUAGGUUUUGGAAACUUGGAGACAAAUAGCACUGGAAGUUUUAAAAUGUUUCACUUUCAAGUCAUUGCAUAGAGUAGAAUGGUUUUGUGCAUAUAAUAAACAGGCAGAAAAUAAAUGAAACAACAAGGAAGUCUAAUAAACCAAAAACAUAAAACAAGGAAACAAAUAUAACCAAUAACAUCAAUUAUUGUUAUAAAUGUUCAUAGGAUAAAAUCCCCUACUGAAGCAAAAAUGCUUUAAGAUUAUGUCAAUGAACAAAAGCAAAAGUAAAUUAAAUUAUAUACUGUUCACAGUGCAAAAAGCUAAAGCAAAGUUACACUAAAAUUUUUGAAAAAAUGGGCAAACAUGUAUUAGACAAACAAGACGAAAGACAAACAGGAGUUUCAUUAGUGAUAUUUAAGAGAAUAAAAAUACUAACUUUUAUAUUGAUAAAAACAUUACAUUCCAUAUUAAGGCUGUAUUCUUAAUUUCACUAAAAUGUGAAUUCCUUGGGUCCAGAGCCCAUCUCUAGCACAGUGACAAGUGCAUAGUGUUCCUUCAAAAACAAAAAAACGAAAAACAAAAACAACAACAACAAAAAAUGAAAACAAAACUUUUUCAAUAAGCCAAAAAAGGUAAUUUUUAAGACUUAAUCAUCACUACUUUUGCCUAUGUGUGGUAUACCCUACAAAAUCCUCAUUAUACGCAAUAACUCCUUCAGGUAUAAUUCAUGAUGAAGACAAUCUAUUCAUAAAACUAUGUGACAAAUAAUAACAGCAAAAUAUCUAUGUCAAAAGCCAUAGAAAAUCCAAGUUAAAUUGACAACCACAUAAUUGCUGGACGAAUCAUUAAUAAACCAGUCAUUAAAAUAUUACCAAAUAUAUAAAUUAUAAAGAAAGUGACAUUUUGAACAUCAUUGAUAAAGCUAUAUUACCAUAUGGUAUAAUUUGUGCCUUACAGAUAGAGUUACAUCUUUUAAAGAAGGUUGAAUAAAUGAAAGAGUAAAUGGAUCUAUGAUAAGCAGAGUGGUAUCCGUUGAGAUAGGAAAUUUGAGGUUAUGGUCUGUUUUUGAAGUCUAAUUAUAGACAUUUAAUGACAAUUUUUUUUCUGACAUGUACAGUUACAGUCUCAAUUUUAGUUUCAAAACUGUAAUCCUUUGAGUUCCCACUGUGGCACAGUGGGUUAAGAAUCCACCUGCAGCAGUGCAGGUCUCAGGUUCGAUCCCCAGCUGGUUGCAGUGGGUUACGGAUCCAGUGUUGCUGCAGCUAUGACAUAGGUCACAAUCGAGGCUUGGAUCUGAUUCUUGGCCUAGGAACUCCAUAUGCUGGGGGGCAGGAAUAGUCAAACAACAAACUUAAAAAUGUAAAUCCUCAAAAUAAUCCCACACUGAGUAAGAGAACUUGGUAGAAUGCCACUCUGACUUAGGAGAGAGAACUUUACUGGGAUAGCAUCAGCCGUCAAAUUAUGCUAAUGGGGCACAGGAUGAACAUGAUUGAAAGUGUACCCCUCUCUGGAUAGGUGAAUGAGGGGUGAUUUCUUAAAGGAAGGAACACAGGAACCGGGGGACACGUUUACUGAGGUGUUUGUUAUGGAUACUACAAAACUCCCUUUUUAUAUUCUGGUCUCUCUUCACUUCCUUCUUCAUUCUACUGGAUUUCUUGGUAACAAAUUAACUGUCCUUACUUUUCUUCUUGAAAUACUUCAUGUUCUACUUCAUGUAACUUACCCUCAGUUUCACUUCCUAUUUCUCUUUUUCUACCCAUGUCCUAAACACUGAUGUUUCCUGAGAAUAAAUCACUAUUAUUCCUUCCAUUCUGCCUAUAGAAAAAAUUUUUCCCAACUCCAUACAUAGACUCAGAAAUACUCUUCAUUUAACUUUGGUUUUCACAUGGAACAAUGAAAGCAAAUCAGUGGUAAUAAUAAGGGAGAAUGAAAAGUGAUAAUGUUCUUGGAUAGGACUCUAUUGAUUCUAAAGACCAAUUUUGAGAUAACUGACAUCUUAAUUUUCAGUCUUUGAUCCUUAAAUAGGGUAUAUUUCUUCACUGAUUUAAAUCUUUAAUUUCAGCACUAUUUUGUAGUUUUCACUUUACAUGUCUUGCCCAAAUUUGUUAAAUUUAUUCUGAAUAUCUUGUUUCUGGAUGCUAUUAUAAGAUUAAUUAUUAAAUGUAAAUUUCCAGCUUUAUUUUACUGCAUUUAUAUAGAAAUAUAAGUGUUUUUUUCUCAGCUAUAUAUUCUGCAUCUUGCUAAAUUCACUUAUUAAUUCUGUUAUCUUUCUUGUGUAUUUCUUUAGAUUUUCUCUAUGCAGUAUUAUGAAAUCAUUCCCAAUCUGUCUGAAUUUUAUUUCACUUUCCCCCUUUUUGCAUCCAAACAAAAUUAAGUAGAAGAGAUAAGAUUUUUAUUUUUGAUCUUAGUGGGAAAUUAUUAUAUUUCCACCUUUAGUGUGAUGUGAGCUCUGUGGUUUUUGGUAGCUAUUGCUUAUCAGGUUAAAAACAUUCCCUUCUAUCCCUAGUUUUCUUGGAGUUAUUAUCAUGAAUGGUUGUUGGAUAUUUUUCCUUUCUAUUUUUAUACCAAUAAAGUCAUAUGAGCCCAAAGGUUUUUAAGUUUUAUUUUACUUUCUCAUGACAAGUUUUCAAAAAUAUUUAUUUGUUUGUUUAUUUAUGUCAGGCUUAUCCAGGAUUUGAAAAGAUUUUUUUUUUUAAUUAAGAAAAUAUUUUGGAGUUCCAGUCAUGGCUCAGAGGAAAUGAAUCUGACUAGUAUGCAUGAGGACACAGGCUCAAUCCUUGGUCUUGCUCAGUGGGUUAAGGAUCCAGCAUUGCCGUGACCUGUGAUGUAGGUUGCAGAUGUGGCUUGAAUCUGGCAUUGCUGUGGCUCUGGCGUAGGCUAGAGGCUAUAGCUCUGAUUGGACCUCUAGCCUGGAUAUGUCUGUAUGCUGCGGGUACAGCCCUAAACCAAAUAAAAAAGAAAAUAUUUUAAGUAAAAAAUCCAGUUUCUUUAAUAGAUAUAAGGCUCUUCAGAUUUUCUAUUUUUUUCUUCAGUCAAUUUAUUUUUUAUUCUUUUUCAUUUUCUAUGUUAUUAAUUUUUACUCAUCUUCUAUGGAAGUUUAUUUGUAUUCCUAGUUUGCUCAGAGUUUUAACAUUACAAGUAAAUGUAGCUUCUUUGUUAAGAGGAUUAUGUUCCAUGCAUACCCAACGGGAGGGGGUGGAGGGUUUGUACAAAGCUGUAUGACAGCGGCAAGUAUUUGGGAGACCAUCUUAGAACUCCUUCUACAUGGGUGGGUAAGAGUAAUCUUCAUGUAUAACUUGUUGAAUCUGGUUACUAAGGUGAUUCACUUCCAUGGUUUUUACCAAAUGCCCUGUGUGUUCAAUGAGAAUUUCUUAUUCAGGAUGGUUAGAACUCAAAUGUUCCGUUUCCCUGGUUGAGCGCUGAGAAUAGAUCAGUUUAUAGCUUCCUGGUAUUCUCACCUGGCCUCAUGAGACCUCACUCUACCUGUGCAUAUUAGUUUUUAGCAACAAACUUAAGGGGAACAGUCAGAAGAUUUCUGGAGCUUUUUCUCUGCAAAGUUUUCUCUGCAAAGUUUUCUCUCUGUAGUACUCUGUUCUGACUGUUUCAGCCUCUUGAACUCGGAUCUCUUCCUCUUUGAUGAAAAGAGACUCAUUUACCUCUAGGCAGAGAGCUGGGGUGAUUAUAGGACCUGGCAUUUUAUUUCCUUUCUUUAGGGGAUUCCAGUCAAGGGCUGUUUGUUGUGCAAUGUCUGAAAACAGUUUCCUUGUAUAUUUUAUCAAUUUUUCUAUUUAUUAAUAGCGGGAAGGCAAUUUCAGUUUUAGGAAAUCUGAAAUGGCCUGAAACAGAAGUCUCCAUGUUUGAUUUUAGGAUGAAAUAUCUAUACCAAAAUAGUGGAGAAUGGGAGGUGGAAGCAGUUAU